ensembl:snRNA U6 U6 spliceosomal RNA
AUGCUCGCUUUGGCAGCACAUAUACUAAAAUUGGAACAAUACAGAGAUUAGCACGGCCCCUGUGCAAGGAUGACAUGAAAGUUCGUAAAGUGUUCCAUAAGUUA